CAGCACAGAAAAAAAGAGCCAAGCUGAAAAGCAAAGCUCUUGAUUUCCAUCCCAUCUGCAUUCUGACCCCAACCAGGGUCAGAAAUCCCUCAAAGUUAAACCACUGCUUCUCUCUAUGUCGAUUCACAUGGUUUGAAAAUGCCUCAGCCCAUUUACAAACUAUUUCAUAUCAGGGUCCAGUGGACCCAAAUACGAGUAAUAGUAAUAGUAAUAGUAAUAGUAAUAGCUUUCCUCUAGAAAAGUUUAGGAAAUCUUGGGUUACUCUGACUUAUCACAAGUCAAGAACAACAUUAAGUUAAGAGCCUUAAAUGUUCAGCUUUUAAACCAYAUAUCUAAAUAAAAUUCAAAAUGAGAAUCAUUACUUAUAUUGCAUUUCAGAUUUUAUUUGUCUUCAAAUCAUAUUUGUUUACUAAUGCUUGCAGUUUGAAAAUACAUUUGAAUCAAGUAAAACUAUUUUGGUGUAGUUUAGAGUUUCCUUAAAUUCUUGUAACCUCUCAAGGAAAAAGUAAAGGUUAUUUCUUUUGAUAGCUUUAGAAAACUGUAACUCUUGUGUUUAUGCAAGAAUUUUGAUGAUCACUUAGCAAUUUAAUUUAUGAAUGAAUUGGUUUGAAACAGUUGUUUUUAAUGUAGAGCUGAUGGAAUUGAUCUUUUCAAAACUGAGUGUUUUACACUUAAAACUGCUUUGACAGGCCCAAAAAUGACCUAAUUCAUCUUUUAAACAUGGUUCUCAACAAUACAUUGUUCAAUAAUUUCAUCAACUGUUCAAUGUUUUACCAUUUACCGUUAACAUACACUAACUGAAUGUUCCUCUGUACUUUAUGGACAAAAAGGCAAGAAAGAGUGAGCAUGAAUCAAGCUUUGCAGUAAUUCAUUUGAGAACAAAGUUCUAGCAGAAGAAACAUUCUGCCUACCUGCUGAGUUGUGCACACAACAAGCUCCAGUUAUGGACAUCGUGGUCUGGGAUUUCCUUGARAAGGGAGYCCUGGUCUCAGGAACCUGGAAACAGACUUGGACAAGCCCCCGGUUGUUGUGUUGCACCCUUUUUCCAUGCAACAACCUGGUCUGUUGAACAAUUCUGGGACCAGACCACUACCCCUCAGAGUCACUACAUUGAGAAACAAUGGGAUUUGUUUAAGUAUAAAACAAUUUUUAAUGCCAAAAAUGAUCAAAUGUUACAAGUAAUAUAAAAGAAAUAGAUACAGAGUGACAUUCACUGUCCAGUACGGCUCCACUCAGCACACGAUUGUAAUGCAAGAUCUGCUUUUAUUGUUUCCUCAUUCUGCAUCCUCUCUAAGAGGUUUUGUGCUGCUUUGAUCAGUUUUGUUUAUGUGUGACUGUCACCAGUCUUAUAUGUUAUAGAUAUGUAAACGUGCAGCAGUGUGCAUGUGAGCAGAGGAGAUGGAGAAAAAAAUCAUAUGUUUGGAGAAAAUCUGAUUUACCUUGAAAUCUAUUUUAUAUUUGACAACCAGUACUAGCUUGAUGGAUAAAUUUAAAUAAUACGCAGCAUUUUAUGGAUAUGCUAUGGAAUACCACCUGUUAUCUUAUGUCCUCCCACUGUUGUGUGUUUAAUUGGGAGGUGACUGUGGUGUGGUAUUUUCAUGUUGGAAAUCUAUAAAAAGAUUUACAAAAAAUUACAACAUGUAUAUUUGGAACAGGAAAUGUGUGUUGGUGCUUUGUCAGGUUUUUAUAAAAUUGUGUUCAAACUGGAAUGAGAAAAUAUAAAGCAGACAUCUAAAUAUAUUUUCUUUGUCUACCCAGACUUCAAGAAAAAUGUUCGAGCAGCUCCAAUUAGAGCAGUGGAUGUCUACAACCUGAUGUGCUGGACGUUAGGUGUACAUCCUUUGCCUAAUAAUGGGUCUUGGUCUCGAAUGCACAGUGACCUGCGCAGUUCGGUGGACACAUUGUUCCACCGAACUAUGUGAGCUGCUUUUAAUAAAGUCUGUCAUACAACCGGGAGGAGGCCUUCUGAAGCUGCUGCCCCUGCGACCCGACCCCGGAUAAGCGGAAGAAAAUGGAUGGAUGGAUGUCAUACAACGUAUUAAUGYUCAAAAAAGAGUUGCGGUGAUCUGUAUUUGUCAGUGUUAAAUUUAAUUCCAAUAAAAACCUGUUUCCCUUG